UAAAUAAUGCCUUCUUGGAGUUCCAACUACAAGGAACAUAUAAACUACUGAAGACAGAGAUGUCUGGUCAUCAGUCACGGUGGCUGCCCAUCACACUGAGCAGAGAUGUCUCAAUCUAUCAAUGUUGAAGCCUUGAUGAGUCGCCAGCAAUCUGCUUACUCUACUCAAUCAACGUUCGGAUUUUCGGAUGAACUAAUGAAGACCACAGAGAUGUCAGAUCUUCAUUCAUGAAUGGCUGUCCAUCGAACUGAGCAGAGAUGUCUUAAUCUAUCAAUGAUGAAGUCUUUGAGAGUCUCCAGCAGACUGCUUUGACAACUCAAUCAACUUCACGUUUAAAGAUCAAGUGAUCCAAACUGAGGUUGUCAGAUCAUCAGUCACAGUGCUGUCCAGAUUGUCAGAUCGUCAGUCAUAGUGGCAGUCCAUGUAGCACAGAGGAGAAGUGAUGCUGAAGCCUAGUGUCCAGCAAUCUGCGAUUUGACAACACAUUCAACUUCCUGUCUACGGUGAUCCAAACUGAGGUUGUCAGAUCAUCAGUCAUAGUGGCAGUCCGUGUUGCACAGAGCAGAAGCGAUGCUGAAGCCUAGUGUCCAGCAAUCUGCGAUAUGACAACUCAUCCAACUUUCUGUCUACAGAUCAAGAGAUCCAAAGUGAGGUUGUCAGAUCAUCAGUCAUAGUGCUGUCCAGAUUGUCAGAUCGUCAGUCAUAGUGGCAGUUCGUGUAGCACGGAGCAGAAGCAAUGCUGAAGCCUGGUGUCCAGCAAUCUGCAAUAUGACAACACAUUCAACUUCCUGUCAUCAGAUCAACUAAUCCAGACAUUUGAGAGUGUCAGAUCUUCAUUCAGAGUGGGAGUGCAUACCUCUGCCUUGAGCAAUCAAUCAACUUUACAGACGGAGAGUUUCGGAUAUUCACAAGGAGUUUGCAGCCCAUCAUACGACCAUCAACAUCGAUGC